rnacentral:lncRNA from 1 species
UUGCCUUUUAAAAGAUUCUUUUUUUUGGAAACAACAUUCCCUGAAACAGGACAGAGAACAAGACAGCCUAAAACGGAAUCAAAACCUCCAUAAUCGGGACCACAUUGAGUCGCCCGACCAAAUUAGGUCUCAUAUUGGCUAAGAGGCCCGUAGUAAGACCUGGAUGUUCCCGUAAUUGGAUCAAAUUGGUCCUUCGCAUCAGGCUCACUCAGUCAUCGAUUUAGUCCUUUCGAUUCUGUCGACUCCCAC